UCUGAGCAAAAACAACUCCAAUUGGAAAAGCAAGUGGAAGCUCUGGAAGGAAAUGUCUAUAUCUUAAACUCUAGAAUGGAUGAGAUGUUGCAGCAUCAAAGAAUUCAGACUGGACUUCUUCAACAUCUUCUUCUUGCCUCUGGUGUUUCUCUUCCCAGUCCAUCCCCUACACUUGCUGCUAACAAAAAGGGGGAGAAAGAAUUACCAACUCCUGCAGAAUUGAUCAGCCAAAUUCCUCCUCCUUUCCACACUGAAAGGGAAAAGCAAAAGAUUGAAAGGAUG
rnacentral:lncRNA from 1 species